rnacentral:rRNA from 1 species
CGGGUGAGUAACACGUAUCCAACCUGCCUCAUACUCGGGGAUAGCCUUUCGAAAGAAAGAUUAAUAUCCGAUAGCAUAUAUUUCCCGCAUGGGUUUUAUAUUAAAGAAAUUCGGUAUGAGAUGGGGAUGCGUUCCAUUAGUUUGUUGGGGGGGUAACGGCCCACCAAGACUACGAUGGAUAGGGGUUCUGAGAGGAAGGUCCCCCACAUUGGAACUGAGACACGGUUCAAACUCCUACGGGAGGCAGCAGUGAGGAAUAUUGGUCAAUGGACGCGAGUCUGAACCAGCCAAGUAGCGUGAAGGAUGACUGCCCUAUGGGUUGUAAACUUCUUUUAUAUGGGAAUAAAGUUGUCCACGUGUGGAUUUUUGUAUGUACCAUAUGAAUAAGGAUCGGCUAACUCCGUGCCAGCAGCCGCGGUAAUACGGAGGAUCCGAGCGUUAUCCGGAUUUAUUGGGUUUAAAGGGAGCGUAGGCGGAUUGUUAAGUCAGUUGUGAAAGUUUGCGGCUCAACCGUAAAAUUGCAGUUGAUACUGGCAGUCUUGAGUGCAGUAGAGGUGGGCGGAAUUCGUGGUGUAGCGGUGAAUGCUUAGAUAUCACGAAGACUCCGAUUGCGAAGGCAGCUCACUGGAGUGUAA